UGGGGAAUUUUGGACAAUGGGCGCAAGCCUGAUCCAGCCAUGCCGCGUGAGUGAAGAAGGCCUUCGGGUUGUAAAGCUCUUUCGGACGGGAAGAAAUGGCGGGCUCUAACAUAGCCUGUCGAUGACGGUACCGUAAGAAGAAGCACCGGCUAACUACGUGCCAGCAGCCGCGGUAAUACGUAGGGUGCGAGCGUUAAUCGGAAUUACUGGGCGCAAAGCGUGCGCAGGCGGUUUUGUAAGACAGAGGUGAAAUCUUACAGCUUAACUGUGAAACUGCCUUUGAUACUGCAAGCCUAGAGUAUGGAAGAGAGUGAUGGAAUAUCUGGUGUAGCAGUGAAAUGCGUAGAUAUCAGAUAGAACACCAAUGGCGAAGGCAGUCACUUGGUCCAUUACUGACGCUAAAGCACGAAAGCGUGGGUAGCAAACA
rnacentral:rRNA from 1 species